rnacentral:lncRNA from 1 species
UAAGAACUAUGUCAAAAACUAUAACACACAUGGAUUUGGGAUAUCUUUCUUGAGUUAUACUGUAAUAUUUUUUGUACAGAAAAUGAGAUACAAUAAAUAUUAACUGACCAAAAAUAUAAAAUAAAGAUAGAAAACUUAUGCAGUGAAAAAAUAUUGUUUUCAAGCUUUGUUGCAACUACUACUGAAUAUCCAACCAAAGUUUAUGCAGAAUCUCACUACGGGAUUAUGAUAAAUGUUUGGAUCAGCAAUUUCCUUCCCAUCCUUCUUUGGAUCACACAUUAUCUUGCAAGGUGUGUAACAUUUGGCUGGAGUCGCUUUUUCUGAUCCUCUCAUGCAUUGAUUUAUGAUACAAUUUUUCAUACAUGCUUUCAUCUUGAUAGAAUCAGAUACUUGUGCAGAAAACAGAAUUGUAAGUAAAUUUACAAUAAUGAAAGCACGGUAAAUUUUCUUUGACGUUUGAACUGCCAUAAUGUAAGUACUAUCACAACGCAAAAUUUGAAUUGUUUAUUUCUUUUUUGUCUGUUUAUUGUAGUGUGAAACGAGAGAUUUUGUGAGAAUAUGGAUUGGUGAAGAUGAUUCUUAUAGUAGAAGUAGUUUUACCUGUUUUGGAGAAUUUGUUAGAAAGUCACAUUGUUAAUUUCUUAAGUAAGUAAAUAUAUCAAUUGAUUUUUGUUAACUUAGGUGUUUUAGUCAUCAAAACAACAAUCUUCUAUUCAUUAAAGUAACUAAUUUUUCAUAUUGUCAAUGGCAAUCUUAGCUUACACCAGAUAUUGAAUUCCCGUUUUGUUUUUACAAUUUGUAGAUACAUCUUGGUUUGAGAAUCUAUUUUAAACACAUAAUACUAGAUUUUUACUUCACACUACGCGCAAGUUUAUAUUAAAAUUUUAGUUUAAUAUUAGUAGUAAAAUUAAAAUUUACUA